rnacentral:rRNA from 1 species
UAAUGCCGGAUGCUCCGACUCCUCGCAUGGGGUGUCGGGAAAGAUUUCAUCGGUAUGGGAUGGGGUCGCGUCCUAUCAGGUAGUCGGCGGGGUAACGGCCCACCGAGCCUACGACGGGUAGCCGGCCUGAGAGGGCGACCGGCCACAUUGGGACUGAGAUACGGCCCAGACUCCUACGGGAGGCAGCAGUGGGGAAUAUUGCACAAUGGGCGCAAGCCUGAUGCAGCGACGCCGCGUGCGGGAUGACGGCCUUCGGGUUGUAAACCGCUUUUGAUCGGGAGCAAGCCUUCGGGUGAGUGUACCUUUCGAAUAAGCACCGGCUAACUACGUGCCAGCAGCCGCGGUAAUACGUAGGGUGCAAGCGUUAUCCGGAAUUAUUGGGCGUAAAGGGCUCGUAGGCGGUUCGUCGCGUCCGGUGUGAAAGUCCAUCGCUUAACGGUGGAUCUGCGCCGGGUACGGGCGGGCUGGAGUGCGGUAGGGGAGACUGGAAUUCCCGGUGUAACGGUGGAAUGUGUA